CCUACGGGUGGCAGCAGUGAGGAAUAUUGGUCAAUGGGCGCGAGCCUGAACCAGCCAAGUAGCGUGAAGGAUGAAUGUCCUACGGGUGGUAAACUUCUUUUAUAAAGGAAUAAAGUGUGGCACGUGUCCCCUUUUGUAUGUACCUUAUGAAUAAGGAUCGGCUAACUCCGUGCCAGCAGCCGCGGUAAUACGGAGGGUCCGAGCGUUAUCCGGAUUUAUUGGGUUUAAAGGGUGCGUAGGUGGUCUUUUAAGUCAGCGGUGAACGUCUGUGGCUCAACCCUGGAAUUGCCGUUGAAACUGGGGGGCUUGAGUAGGUUAGAGGCAGGCGGAAUGCGUGGUGUAGCGGUGAAAUGCUUAG
rnacentral:rRNA from 1 species